rfam:Ovis aries breed Texel chromosome 3, whole genome shotgun sequence.
UCCCUGGUGGUCCAGUGGCAAAGACUCUGGGCUCCCAGUGCAGGGGGCCCAGGUUCAAUCCCUGAUCAAGGAA